rnacentral:misc_RNA from 1 species
GUUAUUUGGCUUUGCCCAUGGAGAGAGAUUUUGCCCAUUGUGAGUGACUUCGCCCAGGAUUUCAGCCUAUUAUAGAGAGAGGUGAAAGAGAUUUUGCCCAUUGUGAGUGACUUCGCCCAGGAUUUCAGCCUAUUAUAGAGAGAGGUGAAAGAGAUUUUGCCCAUUGUGAGUGAUUUCGCCCAGGAUUUCAACCUAUUAUAGAGAGAGAUUUUGCCAAUUUUUGAAGACUUGGCUCUGCUUAUUAAUGAGGGGCUCUUGCCCAUUACAGUCUCACGAGGGAAAGAAGUUUCAGCAUAAGGUGGUUAAAGGGCAUAAUCAAAUGAAGAAAUUAUUAUCCAUUGUAGUUUAAGACACCCUGGUGUAGUAAUUGUAGUUGUAAAUAUAUUGGGUUAUGUCUAAAGGAGAUUGAGAGGACUACUAAUG